UGACGUCACUGAUGACCUCACCGCCAUCCGCAUCGUCAUCGUCAUCAUCACUGAUGACGAUGACGAUGCGGAUGCCGGUGACGUCAUCAGUGACGAUGA
rnacentral:pre_miRNA from 1 species